rfam:Populus trichocarpa scaffold_3_contig_258, whole genome shotgun sequence.
UAAUAGAUAAGAGAGCUUUUUUCGGUCCACUUAUAGAUAGUAAUAUGAUUUAAUUAGUUACCGACUCAUUCAUCCAAAUACUGAGUUAUGAGCUAAGAUUACCCAGUAAAUGAAUGAGUGAUGCGGGAGACAAAUUAAAUCUUAAACUUCCUAUCAUUGGACUGAAGGGAGCUCCCUUUACUGUUAUA